rnacentral:rRNA from 1 species
GACGUAGGGCGCGAGCGUUGUCCGGAUUUAUUGGGCGUAAAGAGCGUGUAGGCGGCCCGGUAAGUCCGCUGUGAAAGUCCAGGGCUCAACCCUGGAAUGCCGGUGGAAACUGUCGGGCUAGAGUCCGGAAGAGGCGAGUGGAAUUCCUGGUGUAGCGGUGAAAUGCGCAGAUAUCAGGAGGAACACCAAUGGCGAAGGCAGCUCGCUGGGGACGGUACUGACGCUGAGACGCGAAAGCGUGGGGAGCAAACAGG